UUAAGCUAUUAAGGGCUGCUCGUGGAUGCCUUGGUACGAUGAGGCGAAGAAGGACGUGAAACCUGCGAAAAGCUUCGGAGAGCCGGAAAAGGCUUCGACCCGGAGAUGUCCGAAUGGGGAAACCCGAUGGGCUAACUACCCAUCAUCCCAAACUGAAUACAUAGGUUUGGGAAGCAAGACCUGCCGAAGUGACACAUCUCAGUAGGCAGAGGAGAAGAAAUCUAUAAGAGAUUCCCCUAGUAGCGGCGAGCGAAGCGGGAAGAGCCUAAACCAGCCAUUCUAUGGUUGGGGUUGUAGGGCCUGUCAUAAAGCACACGGAAACUUAGCAAAACGGUAUGGGAAGGCCGGCGAAACAGGGUGAUAGCCCCGUAUGCGAAAAGAGACCGUCUGUGAGAUAGGUACCUGAGUAAGACCGGGCACGGGAAAUCCGGUCUGAAUCUGGGGGGACCACCCUCCAAGGCUAAAUACUCCAUCGUGACCGAUAGUGAACCAGUACCGCGAGGGAAAGGCGAAAAGAACCCCAGUGAGGGGAGUGAAAUAGAACCUGAAACGAGCAGCUUACAAACGGUCGGAGGCCUAUGCCCCUUUUAGGGGAAUGGCUGACGGCGUGCCUUUUGCAUGAUGAGCCAGCGAGUUAGGCUAUACGGCAAGGUUAAGGGACAUCCGUUCCGGAGCCGAAGCGAAAGCGAGUAUGAAUAGUGCGAUUUAGUCGUAUGGCCUAGACACGAAACCAAGUGAUCUAUCCAUGACCAGGAUGAAGCACGGGUAACACCGUGUGGAGGUCCGAACUAGUGUCUGUUGAAAAAGCCUUGGAUGAGUUGUGGAUAGGGGUGAAAGGCCAAUCAAACUUGGAGAUAUCUUGUUCUCUCCGAAAUAACUUUAGGGUUAACCUCAGCGAAUAUUUACUCGGGGGGUAGAGCACUGGAUCCACAAGGGAGGCUACCGCCUUACCGAAGGGAACCAAACUCCGAAUACCGGGUAAACAGCUGGGAGAUAGACUGUGGGGGAUAAGCUUCAUAGUCAAAAGGGGAACAGCCCAGAUCGUCGAUUAAGGCCCCUAAUUCUAUGCUAAGUGAGUAAGGAAGUGAAGUUUCAAAGACAGUUGGGAUGUUGGCUUAGAGGCAGCCAUCAUUUAAAGAGUGCGUAACAGCUCACCAAUCGAGAGACUUCGCGCCGAUAAUAGACGGGACUAAAGCAUAGAGCCGAAAUCACGGGUGUACAGCAAUGUACGCGGUAGGAGAGCGUAGUAUGUGCGGAGAAGAUAUACCGAAAGGAGUGUUGGAGCGCAUACUAGUGAGGAUGCAUGGCAUGAGUAAACGAUAAAGGAAGUGAAAAUCUUCCUCGCCGAAAACCUAAGGUUUCCAGGGUAAAGCUCGUCUUCCCUGGGUUAGCCGGACCCUAAGUCGAGGCUGAAAAGCGUAGAUGAUGGACAGCAGGUUAAAUAUUCCUGCGCUACCAAAAAACUAUGACAACGAGAUGACGAAGUAAAUUAAGCACGCGGACAAUUGGAAACGUCCGUUUUGUGAUGAGGCCGGCCUGUAGGCAAAUCCGCAGGCGUAAAGCUAGGUCACAGACAAGGGGAAUCUACGGAGGAACCGAUGGUGUAGCGUGAUGCUUCCAGGAAAUAGUCUCUAGUCGUUCUAGGUAACCGUACCAAAACCGACACAGGUGGGUGUGAUGAAUAUUCUCAGGCGCGCGAGAUAACUCUCGUUAAGGAACUCUGCAAAUUACCCUCGUAACUUCGGGAAAAGAGGGGCCAGAGGCUGUUAUUGUCUAUACGGCAAGAAGCAGACUUUGGUCGAAGAGAAAUGGCCCAGGCGACUGUUUAACAAAAACACAGCACUAUGCAAAGUCGUCUAAGACGACGUAUAUGGUGUGAAGCCUGCCCAAUGCCAAAAGGUCAAAAGGAGAUGUUAGCCCGUAAGGGCGACGCAUCGAAUUUAAGCCCUGGUGAAUGGCGGCCGUAACUAUAACGGUCCUAAGGUAGCGAAAUUCCUUGUCGGGUAAGUUCCGACCUGCACGAAUGGCCUAACGAUCUGGGCACUGUCUCAACGAGAGACUCGGUGAAAUUGUAGUAGCGGUGAAGAUGCCGUUUACCCGCAACAAGACGGAAAGACCCCGUGAACCUUUACUGUACUCUGAUAUCGGCUUCUGACUUUUCAUGUGUAGGAUAACCGGGAGACAUCGAAGAAAGCUCGUUAGGGCUUUUGGAGUCGCCGUUGAAAUACCGGUCUUGAAAAGUCGGAAAUCUAACCUCUUCCAGUGAAACCUGGAGAGAGACAGUGUCAGACGGGCAGUUUGACUGGGGCGGUAUCCUCCUAAAAGUAACAAUCUCAUGUCAUCUGUAUAUUUCUCAGGCAGAAUAAAAGCAUCAGGUGAAAUAUUCCAUUGGAUAAUCAAAUGUGGAUAGAGCGAAUCCAAAUAUCGUGACUGGGAAAC
rnacentral:rRNA from 1 species